GGCCAAGAUAUCCUUAUUGCUGGAUGGUAGCUCUGGUCGUAGUGGACCAUAUCUGCAAAUGCUUCUGAACAUUGACAGAAUUUCUAAAGGAUCGCUGAGGACUCCCCCUCCAUGCGUGACAUCUUUGAGAAAUUUUCACGCUUUCUGGAGAUGCCAAGUUUGACUGGAACCAACUUUGCAUCCCUCGGCACUGACACUGAGAAGGUUUCAAGGACCCCACUACUAGGAGGCGAGAGUUUGACACGGCAGUGUCAUCACUGCCAUGGAUGACAACGUAACCAUUCCUGU